rnacentral:rRNA from 1 species
UACGGAGGGUCCAAGCGUUAAUCGGAAUUACUGGGCGUAAAGCGCGCGUAGGUGGUUUGUUAAGUGGAAUGUGAAAGCCCUGGGCUCAACCUAGGAACUGCAUCCCAAACUGACAGACUAGAGUACAAUAGAGGGGUGUGGAAUUUCCUGUGUAGCGGUGAAAUGCGUAGAUAUAGGAAGGAACACCAGUGGCGAAGGCG